GAUGAACGCUGGCGGCGUGCCUAAUACAUGCAAGUCGAGCGAACGGACGAGAAGCUUGCUUCUCUGAUGUUAGCGGCGGACGGGUGAGUAACACGUGGAUAACCUACCUAUAAGACUGGGAUAACUUCGGGAAACCGUAGCUAAUACCGGGUAAUAUUUUGAACCGCAUGGUUCAAAAGUGAAAGACGGUCUUGAUGUCACUUAUAGAUGGAUCCGCGCUGCAUUAGCUAGUUGGUAAGGUAACGGCUUACCAAGGCAACGAUGCAUAGCCGACCUGAGAGGGUGAUCGGCCACAUUGGAACUGGGACACGGUCCAGACUCCUACGGGAGGCAGCAGUAGGGAAUCUUCCGCAGAGGGCGAAAGCCUGACGGAGCAACGCCGCGUGAGUGAUGAAGGUCUUCGGAUCGUAAAACUCUGUUAUUAGGGAAGAACAUAUGUGUAAGUAACUGUGCACAUCGUGACGGUACCUAAUCAGAAAGCCACGGCUAACUACGUG
rnacentral:rRNA from 1 species